rnacentral:rRNA from 1 species
GGAGGAAAGCAGGGGAUCGCAAGACCUUGCGCUUUUGGAGUGGCCGAUGCCUGAUUAGCUAGUUGGUGGGGUAAGAGCCUACCAAGGCGACGAUCAGUAGUUGGUCUGAGAGGACGACCAGCCACACUGGGACUGAGACACGGCCCAGACUCCUACGGGAGGCAGCAGUGGGGAAUUUUGGACAAUGGGCGAAAGCCUGAUCCAGCAAUGCCGCGUGAGUGAAGAAGGCCUUCGGGUUGUAAAGCUCUUUCAGUCGAGAAGAAAAGGUCGCGACUAAUAAUCGCGACUCAUGACGGUAUCGACAGAAGAAGCACCGGCUAACUACGUGCCAGCAGCCGCGGUAAUACGUAGGGUGCGAGCGUUAAUCGGAAUUACUGGGCGUAAAGGGUGCGCAGGCGGCUUUGUAAGUCAGAUGUGAAAUCCCCGGGCUUAACCUGGGAAU